rnacentral:rRNA from 1 species
UUCUUGCUGGCGACCGGCGCACGGGUGAGUAACACGUAUCCAACCUACCCUUUACUCGGGGAUAGCCUUUCGAAAGAAAGAUUAAUACCCGAUAGCAUAAUGAUUCCGCAUGGUUUCAUUAUUAAAGGAUUCCGGUAAAGGAUGGGGAUGCGUUCCAUUAGGUUGUUGGUGGGGUAACGGCCCACCAAGCCUUCGAUGGAUAGGGGUUCUGAGAGGAAGGUCCCCCACAUUGGAACUGAGACACGGUCCAAACUCCUACGGAGGCAGCAUG